UCUCCUUCCUCUUCCGGUCUUUGCAGCGUUUCGGUUGCUGAGCGAGAGGCGAGUUUUUGCUAACUCCGGACUAGUGUCCAGGUGGGGCCAAAGAUGGGCGUGGCGCCAGGGGGCAGGGCCUGCGGAGGCCGAUAGCACUAGGACCGUAGCAGGGUGUGAUCUUCGGACACCGGUCUGGAGCCGACCUGUCUCAACUUGGACCUCAUUAGGUGUGGCAACCUGUAUGUGCUGGCUUCUUGGCUCUCAUCUUGAAAAGAUACAAAUGUCCACUUCUGGCCAUGAUGAAAUAACAAGGACAAGAUUUUCUCUCCUGCUUGAAACAGCUAAAAGCACUGGACAAAAUAUAUGAAACAUUGAUCUCCAAGAUAUUGGACCUCAGAUAACAAAGGACAGCGAACCCUAAGAGACAAGAAAUAAAUGAGUAACUAAUCCCACAUCCAUUUCCUUAUCACUUGUCUGCGUCCUCCAGUGAGGCUGGAAGAGCUCAUGUUGACUUUGCGAGGGGUAGCCGUGUCCAUGGCUCUGGCCAAUGGGAGACUGGCAAGAGAGCUGCUUUCCUGAAGAAAGGGAUGGAUGUCACCAGCACCUGGGCCUACCCUUCCCCUUCCUGCUUUUAACGCCCAGCUACAGCCACCAACUUGCAGCCACAAGACAAAGGUCAAGGGAAGAGCAGAGAUGCCAGCACCGAACCAAGAGGCUUGGCUUCCUUAAACUGAUGAACUAACCACAUACCUCGGGGCUCCUUAUUUGGUAAAGAAUUAACCUCCAGGGCUCCUGGGUGGCUCAGUUGGUUAAGCGACUGCCUUCGGCUCAGGUCAUGAUCCUGGAAUCCCGGGAUC